rnacentral:rRNA from 1 species
ACGCUCGACACCUACGGGAGGUAGCAGUGGGGAAUAUUGCACAAUGGGGGAAACCCUGAUGCAGCGACGCCGCGUGAGUGAAGAAGUAUUUCGGUAUGUAAAGCUCUAUCAGCAGGGAAGAAAAUGACGGUACCUGACUAAGAAGCCCCGGCUAACUACGUGCUAGCAGCCGCGGUAAUCUGAGCGGGCUGGCAAGGC